rnacentral:rRNA from 1 species
CACGCAGGCGGAUUGAUAAGUCAGGGGUGAAAUCCCGGGGCUCAACCUCGGAAUUGCCUUUGAUACUGUCUGUCUUCGAGUUCGGGAGAGGUUGGCGGAAUUCCUAGUGUAGAGGUGAAAUUCGUAGAUAUUAGGAAGAACACCAGUGGCGAAGGCGACCAACUGGCCCGAUACUGACGCUCAUGUGCGAAAGCGUGGGGAGCAAACAGGAUUAGAUACCCUGGUAGUCCACGCUGUAAACUAUGGAUGCUAGCCGUUGGGGAGCUUGCUCUUCAGUGGCGCAGCUAACGUCUUAAGCAUCCCGCCUGGGGAGUACGGUCGCAAGAUUAAA